rnacentral:rRNA from 1 species
UACGGAAGGCAGCAGUGGGGAAUAUUGCACAAUGGGCGAAAGCCUGAUGCAGCUAUGCCGCGUGUAUGAAGAAGGCCUUAGGGUUGUAAAGUACUUUCAUCGGGGAGGAAAAAACAAAACUAAUAAUUUUAUUUCUUGACGUUACCCGAAAAAGAAGCACCGGCUAACUCCGUGCCAGCAGCCGCGGUAAUACGGAGGGUGCUAGCGUUAAUCAGAAUUACUGGGCGUAAAGAGCACGUAGGUGGUUUUUUUAAAGUCAGAUGUGAAAUCCCUGGGCUUAACCUAGGAACUGCAUUUUGAAACUGAAAUACUAGAGUAUCGUAGAGGGAGGUAGAAUUCUAGGUGUAGCGGUGAAAUGCGUAGAUAUCUGGAGGAAUACUUGUGGCGAAAGCGGCCUCCUAAACGAAUACUGACACUGAGGGUGCGAAAGCGUGGGGAGCAAACAGGGAUUAGAUACC